rnacentral:rRNA from 1 species
GCUUAGCCGUUAACUAAGGUAGUAUAAACACAGCACCACCCGCCAGAGAACUACAAGUGAAAAACUUAAAACUCCAAGGACUUGGCGGUGCUCCACACCAGCCUAGAGGAGCCUGUCCUAUAAUCGAUAACCCACGUUCCACCUUACCAUCUUUUGCCCUGCAGCCUAUAUACCGCCGUCGUCAGCCUACCUUCUGAAAGAAGCAAAGUAGACAAAAUAGUUCACUAACUAGCACGUCAGGUCAAGGUGUAGCACAUAAGAUGGAAGAGAUGGGCUACAUUUUCUACCACAGAAAACACGAACAGCCCGAUGAAACCCGGGCUUAAAGGCGGAUUUAGAAGUAAGACAAACAAGAAACCUUGUCUUAAACCCGCUCUGGAGCGCGC